rnacentral:lncRNA from 1 species
CCUUGCUGCUCGCUGCAUUUCCAGUUGCCUCCUCAGGUGUGUAAGCCUGAGCAGGUACUGUCUGUGCCAGAUGAUCUGGAAGCCAGCCCCAUGGAUCUGUACUUGAGUGCUGCUGUACUUCAGCCUACUGAGAGUUACCUCUAAAUUUCAGUGAUAACUGGGAUACUGUGGGUGACAGUAUGAAGCUCCCUCCUUCACCCUUUCUUUUUGGUCCUUUGCUAACCCUUGAAGAUUACUCAAAGAAAUUGCUGAAGGCCCAGCAUUUGGGCCCAUAUCUUGGGCCAGAUGUGGAUGGUGGGAGAUGGGUGCAGAUACCAGGGAUCUCAAAAUUCUGAGGAAAUCUCUGCACUAGUGCCUCAAAGUGGAUUGCGUACUGAAAAUGGGAAAUCAGAACCCACUUCUAUUAGUUGA